GACUUUCUAUAACAUAGUGAUUGAUUUUCCAUAACAUUAGGCAUCAUUUGUUUAAUGAGUUUUGAAAUUGCUGCUGGUUUUUCUCAUAGCCUUUGAUUUUCUAGUAAUCUUGGAGCUUAAUGCAUGUGUGAUAUAGUUCACCAUGGACUUAAAUUCUUGCAUUAAGCACUAGAAAGUCAAUUUUUUUUUCUAAUUUUACAAUUAUGGGCAAUACACUAGUCCUAAAUUUAAUUAAUUACAUGUAAAAUUAACACAUAAAUAGUGAAAUUAAGCACACACAUAUUAAUAAAUUUUGGUGGCGCAGUAUUGAUGGCUUUAUCUUUUUAUAUCCUUUUGCAAUGGCUGUAUUGGAAACUGAUUUUACAUGUAAUUAAUUUGAUAAAUGUGGCCUGGCCAUGAUUGCAUCCAAUAGUAAAGUAUAAGCUGUAAUAAUCUAUUUCAAAUGUAAGGACCACAAUUGCAAAUUGGGAAAACAAAAUUCAUGACCUCUUUUGUAAUUAGCCAUAGCAAAAUAAAUGUUAAUGUUUUAGCUUUUAAGUGAUAUGGGAGUAAAUUACUAGUAUCGGUUUUCAUUAGAGCCUAAAUAGAAUAAUGGUCACUUGUGAUAGUAGGAUUUUUUUUUUGUGCAUAUUUAUGGAUAGUCUGCUUAAAUGUAAUAAGAGUGAAGAAUCAUUGUGUCCAUACUCCAUACUUUUUUUCCCCCUCUCUAUUGAGUCAUAACUUUUGAUCCAAUGUACUAUUUUCUGAACCUAGAAACGAACAUAUUUACCAUUUUUUUCCUGGAUUAUCUUUCUGUUGUAGAAUUGUAAAUUUAAUAUGUGCGCAUAGAAACAUUAAAUUGUGUUUUUAUUUUAGCACAAAAGGCACAAAAAUAGAGAAUAACUCAAGAGUGACUUUUCAUUAGAUAUAACCAAGUAAUACAAAAAUAAUUGUCAAUAAAUGUAACAAAAUAUUUAAAAUUAGACUUAUAUGAGACAAGAACCUUAAACAUUAUAAUGAAUUAAUUUAAAAAGGAAUGUGGCCCAUUUAUUGGCUCUAGAAAUUGAAAGUGGAUGAUGAUGUUUGGCAAAUUGACAUGACUAACAAUCUAAGGAUGAUCUAUUUUGAAAUUGAGGACAUGGUUUCUUCAAGGAAGACAGAAGGAUGUCCCAACCAACAAUGCACCUCAAACGGGUCAAAAUACCAGAACAAGCAAUAGAUCUCGGCACCUGUGUGUAAAGGAUGUAGAUUGCCAAACUCAUGACCUCUAUCAAUAAUCCACUUUGUCAAAAAAUCCUAAAAUAGACUAUUUUGGAGAAAAUGAUAUACAACAAUUCAAGCUUGAGUUUGCUAACAAAAUUAAAUUGAAUGAAAACUUGAAGACUUAACUCAGAAGACAGAAAUUGAUGCAAUUGGAUUGACAGUUCCAGAACCAAGAACACAUGAGGUGGGCCCAUCUACUAAGGUAAUAUUAGAUGAUGUUGUAUGGGAUUGGAAAGUGGAAAAGAGAGUCGGAUUACUUGUCAUAUGAUUUGUUGUACUAGAAUCAAUGACCUAUUUGGACGAUGAGGAAAUAAGAGGCAUAGUGGUUUUACUUGCCUCGGCGAUAGCAAUGAUAGGAGUAGUGGACUUAAAUGAUUAGGCAAAUUCAUCUUCAUAAGUAGUCUUCUCAGAAGAUGAGGUGGUUGUAGUAUCAGAAGUUGCAAUAUUUGCUAAUAAAUUCCUUUGAGACUUAUUUUGUAGUUUCCUGCAUCUGAGCUUCGUAUGACUCUGCUCAUGACAAUGGUAACAAACAAUUCCUCUUGAAUCUUGAUUGAUACUAUGAACACUUUUGUCACAAUUGUUAGUUAUUACCUGAAUUAUCACCUCUAUUCCAUGAUGUCCAAUCUCAUUCCAAUUACGACGGCUUAUGAGAGCACUAUUAGUAGCAAUUUGAAAAGAUUGUGGUGUUUCAAUACAAAGUACCCGAGUAAAAGUCUCAUAUAAGAUAGCUCAGAUCUGUAAAGGGCCUGAGUCCUACUAGUGUCAAAUUUUGAAGGGAGGCCAGCAAGGAAGCUCAUGAUCGCCAUUGGUUCAUACUAGACUUGUUGAACCUUAGCAUCCAUGAAGUAGGACAUUAAGUCUUCAUUACCAGCAAAGAUGUGGUGUGAUAAUCAAGUUGUUCUUUACAUUGCCUCUAAUGUUGUGUUUCAUGAAUGGACGAAACAUACUAAAAUUGAUUGUCAUUUUGUCUAUGAAAAAAUUCAACAAAAGUUCAUCUCUAUGGUAUAUGUUAAAAUUGGAGGCCAAUUGGGAGAUAACUUCACAAACGCUCUAGAUGGAGCUUGAGUUGAUCAUAUUUGUGACAAGUUGGGCAUGAUUAACAUCUGUGCUCUAGCUUGAGGGGAGUGUUAUAGAAUAGGAAGUUAAAUAUGUUUAUAUUCUUAUAUUGAUUAGCAUAACAUAACUAUAGGAAUUAGCAUAAUUUUAGGGAUUUUAU
rnacentral:misc_RNA from 1 species